GCGACCGUAGCUUAGUUGACAGAGCGGUGGGACGGUACCUCACGGUCCCCCAGGUUCCAGUCCCGGCGGUCGCU